rnacentral:tRNA from 1 species
GUUGUCGUGGCCGAGUGGGUAAGGUGAUGAAAUUGAAUUCUUUUGGGAUUUUCCCGCGCAGGUUCAAUUCCUGCCGACAUCG